CGAAAGGUGGCCACAGAUGAGGAAAGGAUAAAGCCUAAACGGAACUUCAAGUUAAGCAGGUGUGGUUGUGAGGCUAUGAUCGGAUUCAAGAGGCAAGAUGACGGCAAAUAUGAGGUUGCCCGAUUUGUCCAAUCGCACACGCACCAACUUAUUUCGCCAAGUAAGAGACAUCUCAUUAAGUCAAAGAGAGAAGUAAGUAGUGAGUUGAGGACAAAAUUACUUACAUGUCAUAAGGCAUUGGUUGGCACAUCUGCAGCAUAUCGCUUGCUUAGUGUAGAGAAGGGGGCCAAGCAAAUGUAGGUUGCACAAAGCGUGAUUUACAAAACUGCCACCGUGAUUUUAAAAGAGCAAUUAAGGGAGCAGAUGGACAGAUAAUAGUAGAUAUCAUGAAGAAUAAGCAAGCUGCCAAUCCAGCCUUCUACUUUGAUUACCAACUCGAUGAGAAUGAUAAACUUACAAAUAUUUUCUGGGCCGAUAGUAUAUGCAGAAAAACUACUCAUUGUUUGGUGAAGUGGUGUCUUUCGACUCCACAUACCGCUUUAAUAGGUAUGACUUGGUGUUUGCCCCUUUCACUGGAGUUAACAACCACAAAUCUUGUGUUACAUUUGGUGCUGCUUUUUUAUGGAAUGAGAAGCAAGAAUCUUAUAUAUGGUUGUUCAAGACUUUCUUAAAAGCAAUGUGUGGGGUUGCACCUAAGCUAAUCAUUACCGAUGAAGAUCAAAGCAUGAGAAUAGGGAUAGAACAUGUUUUCCCGAACACUAUACAUAGACUUUGCAUGUGGCACAUCCUCAUGAAGCUUACGGAAAAAGUUGGUGCGACCCUAAAAAAUAGUCCAGAUUUCCAUGAACAGUUUAUGUCAUGUGUUUGGGGAUCAGAGACACCAAACGAGUUCGAGUCAAAAUGGUGUUCAAUAAUUAAUGAUUUCGGGCUAGAUGAUAAUACAUGGUUGCAGGAGAAGUAUGAGUUACGACGAUCAUGGAUUCCGGCAUAUUUUACUGAUUUCCACCUUGGCGGAAUCUUGCGUACCACAUCAAGAUCUGAGAGUGAGAAUACAUUCUUCAGACACUUUACUAACCGGAACCUUGCCUUGAUUGAAUUUUGGGUCAGAUUUGAAACAGCUUUGGAGGAAUAACGGCAAAAAGAAUUACAAGAAGAUAAUGCCAGCCUUCAUACACUGCCUAUACUCAAGACUUGUUGGAGUAUCGAGAGUCAUGGUAGAGAAGUGUAUACUCAUGAGGAUUUUGCUGAAUUUCAGAGUCAGGUGCUAGCAGCGAGGGAUUAUUGUCAUAUCAAAACAAUCACGCAGAUUGGUGAGCUCCGCACCAUCAGCAUUAGCAGCAACAGUGGCAAGGUUAGACAAGUUAGUUUCAACACUAGCACUAAGGAAACACACUGUUCUUGUAGGAUGUUUGAAUCCUUGGGUAUCAUUUGCCGUCACAUCAUUGUUGUCCUAAAGAAUGAGGGCUGUAAUGAAAUUCCUAGUCAAUAUGUGCUACAUAGGUGGACUAAAAUGGCUGCGCGACACCUUGCCUAUGAUGCCAACGACCAUGAGCUACAAGGGUCAUCUACAUGUCUUCCACCUGUCAUAAAGAAGUUGUACGCGGAAACAUGUUCAAAUUUCAGCUUGGCACUUCAUGUCGCAAAACAUAGUGAGGAGAGAUGAGAUAUCUUCACAAGGCUAUUGGUGAUGCCUACACACAAUUGGGGCAGGAGGGAACAGUUAGUGAGCAAAGUAAAGUUCAAGAAUUUGAAUCCUUCAUUGGAACAUCAUUCCCAACUGUGAUCAACAUUCACCCACCAGAUGUAGCAAAAACAAAAGGGAGUGGUAAGAGAUUGAAAAGGGGCUCGGAGCAGACCGUGACCCAAAAGAAAAAGAGGGCCAAAGAGCAUCACAAAAAUAAGUAGUUGUGGUGGUCUCACUGAUGCGAUGUUGGAAUAAUUAUUUUUAGUCAUUUUGUGUAGACUUGGUAUAGUGGAAAUCAAUCCAUUCAAGUCUGUGCUUCUCUGUCAUUUACGCACUUUGAUUGUUCCAGUGCAAAAUGGCCGUAUGUAAGAAGUGAAUUUGCCAUGCCAAAUAUAUGCAACAUGUUAUGUAAUCCUAUUAUGGUACCCGUUACCAUGAUCUGUGUAUAAGUGUACAA